UAACGACACAUAUUGGAGAGCAUGAGCAGAAGUUAAGGAAGCGGAUUGCGUCAGUAACAAAGGCAUUUAUACCGUAGAGUCGAAGAAAAAAGUGCAUCGGCAAGGCAGCCUGCAUAUAAAGUUUCUUUGCCUUUCUCUGAAGCACUCGCGAGCAGCAUCCCACCGUCCUUUGCUGUGUCCUUGAGAGUUAGAAAGAGCAAGGCAGACCGCUGCUGAGGGCUGCGUCCAUACAUCCGUACACCGACACUUACCCACGUCCCUCUUUCUUUCCUUUGUGGGGCGCUCAUUGACUUUUUAAGCGUCUGUGCCUGCUUGAUCCACCAACACGCAUACACAGACACACACACACACACUCGCUCGUGCGUCGGCAUCCAUACGGAGAACACAGCUCUUCAACUCUCCUGCAUCGCCGUACGUCUUACCUCUGCGUGUGCGUGCGUCAGUCCUGCACCGACCCGACCGCCACGGCGCGCUCUCCCGUGCCCGUCUAUCUUUUUCUAUCCUUUUUGUGCCUUCUCCCGUUUCUCUGAUUGCUUCACCAGUCCCCCCCCCCUCUCCCUCCAAACAGUUUCAGUGUACUUUCUUCUUGUUUUCUCUCUGUGUGUGUAUUUUGUAAAUCUUUGUUUGUGCCUUGUCUGGUGUGGUUGUAUUGCCACUCGUUUCGUUCCCAUACAUAACAAUCCAUUUAUUUUGAGAAUUUUUUUUCGUGUGUGCGCGUGCGUGUCUCACUGCUCCCCCGUUUCUCUCUGUCUUCCUCUGUCUCUCUCUCUCUGCCUGUGUUCUCGUUGGCCACUGCACAUAUCUGCUCGUUUUCCGCGCAAGACACCCCCUCCUCCCCAAGACAACAAAAAAAAAGCAGGGGAAAAAGGAGAUCGGCACAACUCAAACAGUGCACGUAAAGAGGCAAAGAGAAACAGAAACAAGAAGACAACCGUGCGCGAAAAAUAAGGGCACUCAUUCUCUUUCCUUUUUUACGUUUACAGGGUUUUUCUUAUUUUUUUGUGGUUGCGUAGCCAGUGCCUCUCUCUGUCUCUCCAGAGUGCUUGUGUGCGCGGACUGCCAUACGUUCUGUGCCUGCACCCCUCACCCCCCCUCUCCUUGACUUCCCCCGUCCCCGUCAAAGGCGACUCCUCACUUCUUCAGCUCCUCUCUGCUCAUUGCGUGCCUCUAGACACCGUCACCAGUACCCCCACCACAGCCCCCGUGUUACUUGUGCUCGUGUGUGUGUGUGUGUGUGUGCUUGCUCCUUCUAGGCGAGAGAGUUAUCAUUCUUGACAUAUACAAGAGAACACCUCCCCUAACACCCAUCCCUCCCCCUAAAAAAAGCGAAAAAACGUCAAAGAACGCAAGAAGAACGAAAAUAAACUGCGAGGGGUACAGGGUGAACAGCUAAGCAAAUCACGCAGGCAUUCGCGAAGAGUAACAAGCAAACGACAAGAAAAGCCCUCUACGCUACGAGUUUGUGCGUGUGUAGGAUUUUUCGUCGAGCCGCGUAUUCUCUGUGGCGUCUCCCUUCCCCUCUUCGCUACACCCUUGCCCUGCAGGCCUCCUGCGGUUGUCCACCUGCUUUUUUGUCCCUUGCCGACGUCUGCUCGUUUCUCUUCGCUGCCAGCGACCGUCGUUUUUUUUUUCUGUCCGUCCUUUUGGCUGUAGCCCCCCUUUUUUCCGUUUCUCAUUCUUCGAAGCUUUGCGCUUAUUCGUCCCCAUCCCCCGUCCCCCCUCCCCGCUCGGUGCCUGCCUGCCUGCCUGCUUCUGUGCGUUUAGGUGCGCGCACCCCUUUUUCUUUUCUUUUCCCCCGAUCGCUGUGUGCGUAAGCGUCCGCGUGCGUACUUCAGCAAAGAAAAAAACAGAUCUUCAUAUCUGUGGUUUAACUCACUCUCUAUCUGUGUGUGUGUGUGUGUGUGCUGUGUCUGCUCGAUUUUCAUCGUCACGUACUGCUCUCCGACGUGGCGUUCUCGGCAACAGAACGCGCAUAACCGUCGACACAUCGACAUCCCUUUUUGUUUUCUUUUGUCAUUUCCGUGGCUCUAGUAUUUUUUUUGUGCAUGCGUCAUAGCCCAUCUGUUUCCCUUUCCGUUCUCAGCUUUCCACCCUCUGUUCUACCAUCAUCGACUGACCUCAGGAGCGGCCACCGCUCUUUUCUUUUUCUUUCUUGCCCUUCCGGCGUGCAUCAUCAGCCAUCAUCUCUCGAUACCGCUUGUGCGCGUGCGCUGGAUACUCUUCUCUCUGUGUUGUAACGCCGUAUUCAUUGACUGGGAACGUUUGCUUCCUCAACCAUAAAUACACCCAACGCCGUGCGCGCUUGUGAGGCCAGGCAAAAUAAGUGACGAAAAAGGGCACGGAGAGCCAAAAAGAGACCCCUCCCCCCCCCCAAAAAAAAGGAACGAUCAGAGCACCGUCUUCUUUUCUUUCUUGUUGAUCGUCGUGUAUUUGCUCUUGUGCUGUUGAUUUUUCUCUCUUCGCUAGGCCUCCGCUUCUUCCCACCCACCCAUCCACCUACCCACCCCCUGCAGUGUUUCCCUCGGCGUCUGCGACAGUAUCUCGUGUGCGUGUGUCUGCCAUCCUCUUCGUCUCCUCCUCUCUCCUUUUCUCUCUCUCUCUCUCCGACGCCUCUCCCUUUCUGUUUUCCGACUCGUUUUUUAUUUUUAUUUUUGUGUGUUUGUCGGCGUUCUGCCCUCACCUCCGUUGUGUAUCAGCAAAGGCGAACGGCGUCACUGCGCGGUUACCGACAGAGUUGCGUUCAUCGAAAGGCAGUGGCAACUGCCCGCCUACAGGAGACGAACGGAACGGCAACUCCGCUGAACAAGAAAGGAAGACCAUCGUGGAAGGAGGAAAAGAAGCAUAAGGAAAUCACACGCUCGAACGAGGAAGAGUCGUUACCACAAAAAACGCAUUUUUCCUCUUGUGUACGUGUCUUCUUUUGUUGUUGGUGUUGCUGCCGUUGGCCUGCGCACGCUCUCUCCACAAAACUACGUGUACCACCGCCAUCAUCAUCAGGGGCCUAUCUCUCUUCCUCCCCCCCCCCCGGCUUCGCCUCGGCAUCAACGUUUGGCUGCAUUUUUUUUAUUGUCUUUCUUUCCUGCACGGUAGCCUUCAUUCCUUCUCUGUGCACUUCUUCAAAUAUAUAUAUAUAUAUACAUACACUAUUUCUCCAAUUAUUUUUUUUUUGAGAAGACGACUUGAACAACGAAAGAUAGACGGAAAAGGCAAAGAACGUCAGCCGUCGAGGAGAAAAGAGGGUGUUCUGUCUGUGCAUGCGUUUUAGGUGGCUCGCCUUAUUUUUCUUGUUUUGUUGUUGUUGUUUGAUUUCUUUCGCCUGCUUUCACCUUGCAUACUGUUCCAGCACCCCGAAGCAAAGUCCAGUUGAAGUGCACGAACCACCACUCUUUUCCCUACGCGAUUUCCCGUCUUCCCUUGCUCGCAUUGACGGCUCGUCUGUUUUUCUUUUUGUUUGUGCCACCCGUUUUUUUUUGUUGUACCUCCUCUUGCUUCUGUUUUAUUUUUCAUUUUACGCCUCCAUUUCGCAGGCUCUCUUUGAGGUGAUCAAGCCACCAUUGCUCUCUCACUCGCAUACCACAGGCUAUCCCACAGCGGAGUCGAGGGAGACGGCGAUAGGUGAAGCAAGCGACGAAGAAAGAAGCACGCGAAGAAACCAAACAAAAAAGGCAAGAAAAAAAUUACUGGACCGAAAGAAAAAGACCGCCGUUAGUUUCCCAGUUGUGUUUAGUGCACCCUCCCCCGUCUAAUUUGCUCUCCUCCUCCGAAAAAGCAAAAACAAGAGCAGUCGCUUGGGCCGACAGCAGCGGAAGAAGCGAACCGCAGCGAACACCCACACACCCACAUACAGACAUACACAACGCCAUACAGAAUUCUGACUCGUUUUGCUUUACUGCCACUCUCCACGUCCACCACCGACCACCGAACACCCACCACCUCCCCCUUUUCUUUGUGCACAUUCUCUAGGUGACGUGCCGCUCUCUUUCCAAAAGCGUCCCCCUCCCAACCUCCUCUUCGACACUUGUUUUGCCUCUUCUCAUUGUCCCCAGCACCCCCGUUUCAUUGACUGCCGUUUCUUCUAAGCUUCCUUUUUCGUUUUGUUUCUGCCACCCGCUCUCUCCCUCUCUCUUCCGCGCCCAUUUCUGACCCGUUACCGCGUUUUUGUCUGUGCCGUUGUCUCAAGCCCCGUCUCUCUCUCUCUGGGGGUCCCCUCUGUCCUUGUCUGCAUUGGUGUUCGUCUUUUUCUUCUUUUUUUUGCUUGCGGGCCUCCUUUCACUCCCACAUCUGCAGUGCCUGCUAAUUUCAAUCCGUUUCUCGUUUUUUUUUAUAUUCCUUUUCCCCUCCUUUUUUUUUGUGUGUGUGUGUGUGCGUACGCGCAUGCCUGGCUUGUAUCUCGCCGCGUUUCUGUCCCUACUGUAGCACAGCCCUCUCUCACCCUCUUUUAGUUGGCAUACGUCUGCGGGUCGUCGCGCUUCUUUUUUUUUUUUGCGUGUUUGGCUCGCUUAAAUUUUUUUUUUCGUGGCUCGUCUUUCCCUUUCGUGUGUUUAGGCGGUGUUCUUUGUGCGUGUGGCGGCCGACGGAACCAGCAUCGUAAAACGCACAGAGACACCGAGCCGAGCACAACGAUAUAUAAAGUUAGCAGCGACAACAGUAUUAUCAAACGUGCGGAACGUUAGUUAAACUGCUUUUGCUAAAAAAAAAGAGGAAAAGGACACAAAGACGUUGAAGAAGUGGCUGAGGGAGUGAGUUUUGGUAGACCAUUGCCUGCUUUUGCUUUCGGCGCUGUCCCUCAUCGACUUUUACCGACCCGCUCGCCUUGUCUGUCUGCCCACCCUGGCGCACUCGCUUCUUUGUUUGUGCCUUGCGCGUUUCUUUGGCACUCAUAUUCUUUUUUAUUUUUCGCCGUUUCUCACACUCUGCACACGUUGCUGUCACAGUCGAACUGCCCAUUUUUCACCAACAGUAGCCAUCCUGGAGGAAAAGCGGGAAAUUUGUGAGCACGUGUGACUGUCCACUGGUGUGACUGUCAUUGACGCCGCUGCUUUUUACGUUUUCUCUUUUUUUUUCAGUUGAGCGCAGCAGGAUCCUCGCCGCCGUCAUGUCUUUUCUUUGGCGCCGGUGCACGCGGCAGCAACCCGCCAUCGCGGCGGCGCUGCUGUGCGCCUCGCUUUUGAUGCUUGUCUGCGUGGGUGUGCGCUCUGCUUCCGAUGAGGCGGGCACCCUCGACUGCUCCGUGCGCGUCCCGAACUACUCUGCCGCCGAGCAGCAGCAUACUCGCAUGUUUCUAGACGCCAUCAAGGCGGCCAUCCCCGCCUUGACUUCUGUGUGGACCUGCGACAACUUCUGCGCGCACAAGGGCGUGGAGUGCACAGAGGCCGGCUUGCAUGUGCGUCUCAACGUCGACGACCUCGUCGGCAGCCUCCCUGAAAUACCUGAGGGCGUUAUAGGAUCAUCUGUUGUGGUAACGAAGCUCACCUUCUCCGGCGACAUCAGCAACUUGAAGGGCACGCUGCCUGUCAGCUGGCAUCAACUAACCUCGCUCUCCUCGUUUGUGUUCAUCUCCACGGGCGUCGAAGAUACGCCGCCAGAGAUGCGGAGAAAUUCAAUCCAAAGCCGUGUGAUGACAGACGAUGCUGGAUUCAUCCCGGCGGCAUGGGCGAGUACCGCCCAGCGUGCCAGCUCUCUGCCUGUCUCUCGGGUAUCGGACAACAAUAUGAUAGGUUCGCCGCACUCCGCAUGGGCAGGGGCCAGCAGGAUGGAAAGGAAUUAUCUACAGAAGAAAGUUGAUGAAAGAAGUCUUCCCGAGGAGUGGGGCAACAUGAUAAACAUUAAGGUUCUCAACUUAACGAACCUUAGUCUCUCCGGAACACUCCCGGCUUCCUGGGCUUCCUUGCGGUUGCUUGGGCAGCUCCUAGCUUCGAACAACCUACUUGAAGGUACCCUCCCUGCGUCUUGGGGGAGUCUGAAGAAGCUGCUUGACCUGCAGUUGAUAGGUAACAAGUUCACUGGUAUUAUUCCGCAAGAAUGGGGUGAGAUGACAGCACUCCAGAGGGUCUCUCUCCAGCUUGACUACUGUACCUGCGUGCCACAAAGCUGGAUCACGCGGAAAGUCGAAGUUAGACUCUACUCCACCGUUCUGGGUGGCGACUGUGAAAUCACCUCAGACUGCGGCUCCAGCAGCAGCUCUGAACUGGAGUGUGAUGGCCCCAUUCCGUUUUACACACCAACUCAGCAAGCGCACACGCGGAACUUCCUUGAGGCGUUCAAGUACACAAUUACAGACUUGCAGCCUCUGUGGACGUGCACGAACUUCUGUGUCUGGGAGUAUGUGCACUGCACGCCUGCGGGUGUGGCAGUGGAGAUCACUGGAACAGAGUUUUUCGGUUCUGUUCCGGAGGUGCCUGCCGAUGUGAACCCGUCGGAGGUGGUGGUAAGCAAGCUUGAUUUCAGUCAUAGCGGGUGGGUGGAGGGCGAGUAUCCCAGUAGCUGGGCUUUACUGACGUCCCUGCAGAACGUAUCCUUUGCAUACACUUCGAUGUGGGGAACGCUGCCUUCCCACUGGAGUUCCAUGUCCGCGCUGAAGUACCUCGAUUUAAGCUUCACGUGGACAGACGGUAGGUUUCCCGAGAGCUGGAGCCGCUUAGCGAACCUGGAGGUGCUCCGACUGGUGCACCUCACAAUUCCCGAUCACCUGCCGGCCUCGUGGAGCAGCAUGAGCGCGUUGCGGGAGCUCGACCUCGACAGCACCGGCGCUUCAGGCACCCUACCCCCCUCAUGGGGCGCCCUCAAGAACCUAGAGAAGCUAUCCCUGUCCAACAACAACAUUGACGCAAUCUUACCAGCAGAGUGGAGCUCGCUAACGCGGCUGCGAAUCCUGCAUCUGCAUCAUAACCAGCUUUCCGGGUCCAUCCCGGAAAUCUACAAUGCUAUGUCCACCCUCACCCGCGUCAGCCUGGAGAUCAACCGAUUCUGCGGCUGCCUCCCAAGCACGUGGGCCGCAAAGAACGGUGUGUCUAUGACGAUCACCGCUCAACCGGACCUACUCGCUCCUGCCUGCGCGACAGAAAACGCUUGCAAGCCAGAGACUGAAUCCAGCAGCAGCUCCGCGCCGUCGGCGUCGUCGUCGUCUGCGCCGUCCAGCAGCAGCUCCGCGCCGUCAGCGGUCCCUCGUCGUCUGCGCCGUCCAGCAGCAGCUCCGCGCCGUCGGCGUCCUCAUCGUCUGCGCCGUCCAGCAGCAGCUCCGCCCCGGCGUCCUCGCGCUGCCCCCCCCCCCCCUCCUCCCGUCUGCGCCGUCCAGCAGCAGCUCCGCGCCGUCGGCGUCCUCGUCGUCUGCGCCGUCCAGCAGCAGCUCCGCGCCGUCGGCGUCCUCGUCGUCUGCGCCGUCCAGCAGCAGCUCCGCGCCGUCGGCGUCCUCGUCGUCUGCGCCGUCCAGCAGCAGCUCCGCGCCGUCGGCGUCCUCGUCGUCUGCGCCGUCCAGCAGCAGCUCCGCGCCGUCGGCGUCCUCGUCGUCUGCGCCGUCCAGCAGCAGCUCCGCGCCGUCGGCGUCCUCGUCGUCUGCGCCGUCCAGCAGCAGCUCCGCGCCGUCGGCGUCCUCGUCGUCUGCGCCGUCCAGCAGCAGCUCCGCGCCGUCGGCGUCCUCGUCGUCUGCCCGUCCAGCAGCCCCGCCCGCGUCCUCGUCGUCUGCGCCGUCCAGCAGCAGCUCCGCGCCGUCGGCGUCCUCGUCGUCUGCGCCGUCCAGCAGCAGCUCCGCGCCGUCGGCGUCUCGUCGUCUGCGCCGUCCAGCAGCAGCUCCGCGCCGUCGGCGUCCUCGUCGUCUGCGCCGUCCAGCAGCAGCUCCGCGCCGUCGGCGUCCUCGUCGUCUGCGCCGUCCAGCAGCAGCUCCGCGCCGUCGGCGUCCUCGUCGUCUGCGCCGUCCAGCAGCAGCUCCGCGCCGUCGGCGUCCUCGUCGUCUGCGCCGUCCAGCAGCAGCUCCGCGCCGUCGGCGUCCUCGUCGUCUGCGCCGUCCAGCAGCAGCUCCGCGCCGUCGGCGUCCUCGUCGUCUGCGCCGUCCAGCAGCAGCUCCGCGCCGUCGGCGUCCUCGUCGUCUGCGCCGUCCAGCAGCAGCUCCGCGCCGUCGGCGUCCUCGUCGUCUGCGCCGUCCAGCAGCAGCUCCGCGCCGUCGGCGUCCUCGUCGUCUGCGCCGUCCAGCAGCAGCUCCGCGCCGUCGGCGUCCUCGUCGUCUGCGCCGUCCAGCAGCAGCUCCGCGCCGUCGGCGUCCUCGUCGUCUGCGCCGUCCAGCAGCAGCUCCGCGCCGUCGGCGUCGUCGUCGUCUGCGCCGUCCAGCAGCAGCUCCGCGCCGUCGGCGUCCUCGUCGUCUGCGCCGUCCAGCAGCAGCUCCGCGCCAUCGGCGUCCUCGUCGUCUGCGCCGUCCAGCAGCAGCUCCGCGCCGUCGCGUCCUCGUCGUCUGCGCCGUCCAGCAGCAGCUCCGCGCCGUCGGCGUCCUCGUCGUCUGCGCCGUCCAGCAGCAGCUCCGCGCGCGUCGCGUCUGCGCUGUCCAGCGUCGCGCCGUCGCAGCAGCUCCGCGCCGUCGGCGUCCUCGUCGUCUGCGCCGUCCAGCAGCAGCUCCGCGCCGUCGGCGUCCUCGUCGUCUGCGCCGUCCAGCAGCAGCUCCGCGCCAUCGGCGUCCUCGUCUGCGCCGUCCAGCAGCAGCUCCGCGCCGUCGGCGUCCUCGUCGUCUGCGCCGUCCAGCAGCAGCUCCGCGCCAUCGGCGUCCUCGUCGUCUGCGCCGUCCAGCAGCAGCUCCGCGCCGUCGGCGUCCUCGUCGUCUGCGCCGUCCAGCAGCAGCUCCGCGCCUCGGCGUCCUCGUCGUCUGCGCCGUCCAGCAGCUCCGCGCCGUCGGCGUCCUCGUCGUCUGCGCCGUCCAGCAGCAGCUCCGCGCCAUCGGCGUCCUCGUCGUCUGCGCCGUCCAGCAGCAGCUCCGCGCCGUCGGCGUCCUCGUCGUCUGCGCCGUCCAGCAGCAGCUCCGCACCGUCAGCGUCCUCGUCGUCUGCGCCGUCCAGCAGCAGCUCCGCGCCGUCAGCGUCCUCAUCGUCUGCGCCGUCCAGCAGCAGCUCCGCGCCGUCAGCGUCCUCGUCGUCUGCGCCGUCCAGCAGCAGCUCUGCACCGUCGAUAUCUUCGACGACGACUACCGUCGAACCCUCUCGGGACCCAGUUCUGCCGUCGUCCUCGUCAUCGUCGUCGUUAGUGGACAGCUAUUUUUUUGAUAAGCUCUAUGUGUUGUGCCCGAAUGCUGAUGAAGCAGGCGUUGACAUUAUUUCCAUGCAUAAGAACGACAUCUGCUGCAAUGAGUGGGACGGCAGUGAGCACAGCACAUCCUGUGGUGAUGAUAUCAAGAACUAUUCGAAUGCUAUUGUGACUUGUAGCGGUGCUCUCGGUAGCCGAGGUUACUUCUCAUGCUGCACUCGGGUCGGACUGGAUGGUGUCGGAAAGUUCCUUGGCACGCGCUGCCAGGAUGCUUCUGUGGAUGGCGUAAAAGGGCCAUUAGCACGUGCGACAUUGUGGAAUCUCCGCACGAGCAGCGGCGGUCUCUUGGUGACGCUUGCAACCGCGAUUGCGAUUGCUGUGAUGUAGACUUGAGGCGUGCAGGCAUUGUAUUUUGGUUGUUUGGCAGUUCGCACGGAGGUUGCCUGAGCGCACUUGUUCUGUCAACGUAGCUUUCGCAUCUGUUUUUUUUUUUUAUCGGCGCACAGCGAAGGCAGCUUAAGCGGCGUAGUGGCAGUACUCUCUCGUUCGUGCGCUGCUAUAAAGUGCUUUUAUGCCGACAGUACGGGGUAGCGGGGUCCUCAUGACGGUGUCCCAGACUGUUCCCUCGUGCUCCUGUGAAUGACGGUCCAGUUGUUCGGAGUUUUUCGCUGUCUCUUUGGUUGCUGAUUUGUGUGUCCUUUUUUGCUGUCGUUUUUUUUAUGUGUUUGGUGCCAUGUAGUGCGACCCCGCUACAUCAGGCCUGCUGGCAUCUCAAGAGCCGGGCUCUUUCUUGACGCUCUCUCGCUCGUACGCAUGCUCGUUGUGACUGUCGUCUUUCUUGUCAUUGACACAUUUUCUUUGCUUCUCCUUGUUUACCUGUUUUCUUUCUUCAUUCCGCGCUUCGGGUCUCGGAGGGACUUUGGCAGUGCGCAUACGUGAAUUAUUUGAUAUUCACUUAUGGGUCGGGAGAACGCCCGCGCUUCCCUGUCGAUGCCCGCUCUACAAUUCGCCACGGUAAUCGCCCCGUCAUUUCAUCCGAGGUUUCUGCUAUUUUUGUUUCACAUGGUUUCCUGUAUGUUUGGUUUUUGUUCUGCUUGGGUGUUCGCACAUGUCUCAACGGACAGGAUUGCGUUGAUGGUGAUGCUUGCGACUUGACGGUGCUUAUGAUGUGUUUCGUCGAUCAAGGCGCAGCUCUUGGGUGCAUGCGCCACAUUGGAUUGCUUCGUUAGACUGAGUAAAGGGUGAAAACUAGUGAGCUCGUUUGGGCGGUGCGCUGAGUGGCGUGGAAAGAGACAAGCGUGUUUGUUUGCGUGUGCGUGUCUUGCGUUGUGAGCAGAAGUUAGAGCCCCUCUGAUACAUGUCUUUGUGUUUUGGUUGCCAUACUUCUCUCUCCGCUCGUCAUCCACUCCCCCUCAUCUCUAUCUCGCUCGAACUCACUGCUCUUGCCAUUGCAGCCUCGAUUUACUCGGGACAUGUACCGCGACCUCAAACCGCUGCCUCACCGCAAAAAGUCGCCCAAACGUCGUCAACUUCCUUAUCUGGUCGUCGGUGCGUGUGAUGUUCGCUUGUUUGUGUGAGUACUGUCCACUGGCGCAUUUUUCUUGCUGAUUUCAAAGUCGUUUUUUUUUGUCCUGCGGGCCUUUUCGUAGCGCCCAGGCCUCGUCUCACGUCUCCUGGUCCGAAUACUAUCUUAGACUCCGUCCCUCGUCUCUCGAAGCACUUCCCGAUCGGCUUCUGCUCUUGAAGUCAUGCACUUGCGAGCCUGCUGUAUGAGGGGGGCUGAAGUGUCGCCUCUGCUCAUCUCUUCCUGCCGCCCCACCCCACCCCCCAUUUCCUGCCUUCCUCCCACCGCGCGUGCGCUGUACUUCCCCGUGUCGCUAACGGUCGAGCUAGAAGAGCCUAGAGAAAACAAAAACAGGUGGAGAGAGAAAGCGGAGGCAGGCGCCGUUUUGGGGGAGGAGUGGAGAGGGGUAGCGAGUGGUUCGGCUCCAAGUGAAGAUUCUGUUGCCUGGUAAUCGCCUCGUUGCUCUCGUUACGUGUUCUGGACGGACGUUUAAGUUUAUCCCUGUUGGCUUGCUGUCAAUCACACGCCUGCAGACGCACACAACAGAGGCGUAAUUGCCUGCUCGCUUUAUAAAACGAAAAAAAAAACGCUAGCACACGCACGCUUUAUUUCAAGCUGUAAAAUGAAAACUAGAAACAGAAAGAGCAGCGUGAUCAGCUUCUCUUUUCGAAAAAGGCGUUGUUGUCUUCUUUUUGCUGUGCGACCCUAUCGUUUUGUCUGUGUGUGUGUCUCUCCCUCGCUCGCUCGUUAUGUGUAUGUUGUGCUUUUCCUCUGUGAUUCACACGGAGAGGCACGAGGGAAUGCCUCAUUAAAGGAGGAGGCGGAGCACAGAAACGAACUGAAAAGUCGAGGAAAGAAGUCACUCGCUUCUUUCUUUGCCCCUAAUUCAGCCCUCCAUGCCUUCCCCUCUCUCCCUCCCAUACACACACGCACGCACACACGCAUCCCUCUUUCUCCGUGUAGACAAUUUCUUCAUAUUAUUGUGUCCGUGAAAUGCACGUGUAUGUAGAGCAUGUUUUUUUUUGUUUUGCUUCGUUCUGUUGGUUGCUUCUCCGUUGGCGUCUUAAUGGUUCUUCGGCAUGUUGUACUUGUAUGUGUCUGCUCGUGGCUCUUUUGGUUUGACACGUCGUUUUUUCCGUGUUGCCCCCUCCCCUAAUUUCUUCCCUUUCCUCCUGAGGAAAGGGUACCGCUACUCCGACUCAUACCCUUUCGCGCGUUGCGCCAUGAAGAGGGCCUGCAGUACGCCUCCACAGUACUUCGUGCGUAGCUUCAGACGGACAGAUGUGAGGCAAUGCAGGUGCGCAGAUUGCUUGCCCCCUUCCCCUUUCUUUCGUUUCUGCGUCAGACGACACACACUGCUGCUAUAGAGGGGGCGAGAGGGAAAAGGGAAAGAAUACAGUCAACGCACUAGAGUGGUUCCUAAAGGCAUAUGUCCGUCGUAAACCCUCGAAAACAACACGCAGCCAUCACCACCCACCACCCCUUCAUUGAACACACUUGCGCGGGCACUCACUUCCGCACACGAUGGCACCUUGCACCUUUCAUCUUCCUCUUUCAUCCCGGUGUCUCUCACUCACCUGAGAUGCUUAUACGUCUGUCUUUAUUGUUUGCCUCAUUUUCCUCGUUUAUCGCCUUUCAAGCAUGCUCUCGAUACUUGUUGUGCGGUAGAAGGAGAGAGGGAGGGAUAGCGGCGUGUGGCGUCGUGUGCACACGGGUGCCGUUUACGAGCAAAGCCGAUAAUCAGAGGCCCCCAAAGGAAACGAGCCACGCCGUUAAAAGGAAUUUCGCUGCACGUCUGCCGCCGCGUGCUGCAAGAAUGAGAGGAGGAAUGAAAUGAGGCUAAAAAGACGCACAAGAAACUUCGACAAGAGAGGAGAGCAAGAGGAGUCAAAUGGUUUGCUGUUCUUCGUGCUCGCGUGAACGGCAGUGAAGGACGGGAAGUGUGACGCUCUGAGAAACUAACGCAUAGACGCACAGAGAGCUGAGGAAAACGGCCACGUGUGAGUUUCCUCGCUCAUUGUUCUCCCUCUUCGAGGCAUCACCAGCAGCAGUCGUGUGAAGCAUCUUCUACUUGUUGGAGUGCACUGUUCUUCGUCACUUUUAGAAUAAUAGGCGGCGGUUGGCCGAGGUGCUUCUGGCUGCUGCGUGCUCUGCUCUCCACCACCACCACCUCCAGCAGGGUCAGAUAUCUUUUGAUAUCGCGCGAACGAAGACGCGAAGCUUCAGAGUAGGAGGCAGUACCUGCUAUAGUUAUUCUUUACUUUUUCUUUUCGUCGAGGCCUGACCGAAUCGGUAUGUGCAUGGGGAUGUGGUGUGCACGCUUAUUUCUAUCGGUUACCAGUUUCCAUCCCUCUGUACUGGUGUAGUCCUCUUUUAAAAUUUUUUCUGCCUUGACCGUUUUCUGGUCUUCUUUGUUCUUUUUCGUGUCUUUACCAGGUCUCAGACAGUCGUCCGCCUAUCCAAGACCUCUGGCACACAGGCACUGCAGGCACGUAUACAUUGUACGUCGAGGCGAGAGGGAGAGGGAGGGAAGGAGGGGGCGGAAGUCCUUUCCUCCCUCCCUCUUCUCACUUCUCUCACUUGUCAUUCUGUAUUGUUUUCUCUUGUGCUCAAGCGAUGAUGCUAGCGAGAGCGCGUGUGUGUGCGUGCGUGCGGUGUGUCCCUCAUAACGCUUACCCACCCACUCACGCCUCUUUCAUUCCGCCUUAUUUCCAUUCAUCGCGCCCCUUUUUUCACUCCGCGCCUCCCUCAUUCUCUCCCUUGUGCUUCUUCUGUCUCUGUUGUUGUUGUUUUGUUUUGUGUUUUCCCUUUACGAAGCAAUCGACUCUGCGUGGUCGUGUGUGCGCUCUGCUUUACCACCUUGCUUUUCUGCUUCCUUUUCUGUUUGCGUGCGCUUGUGUCAUCUUUUCAUCCUCUUUUUGGGCUUGUCUCCCCCUCCCCCUUUUAGAUUCUGUAUAUAUGUAAGUAUAUGUGUGAGUGUGUGGUUUUUCUUUUCACAUAACGUUUUAAAGGAUAACGAGUGCCAAGGAGGUGUGCGAUGUGCUGUCCUGCUUGCAUGUCUCUCUCUCUCUCUGAUUCUUUUUCGUUUUUGGUUGUUUCCUACGUUUCUUUGCGCCUCCACCACCACCACCACCCUCUCUCCCCCUCCCAUCAAAAGAAGAGCUCGUAGGCCACCCCGCGGCACACACACACACACACGUCCCACACUCACUCUGCCUCUGCCGGAAGUGUGCACACUGAAAAGAGCAUCACUAGAGAAAAUGGAAGAAUUUGCUCUCACUAUACGUUGGAUGCUCUUGUGGGUUUCACUGCUGCUUGCUCCCGAGGCCAG
rnacentral:misc_RNA from 1 species